AUUCCUCCCGUGCACUCCCAAAUCUCGAUGUCACCUUCUUCCCCAACUUCUUCUUCUUCAUUUCUCUCUACAUGCACAUUAAGCAAAACCCACUCAAAAUUUCUUUGCUACACGGCUUUCCACCAAAAUCCACCACUAACAGCGAAGCUACUCCACCCCAGUAGAUUUUUGCGUAAGCAAAACCCUCUCAUCGUCUUCUUCACUCGCAUCAACUGAGGCUAUACAAGUUCAAAAAGUGUGAUUUUUUAGACACCCUAAGCUGCCGUUCGUCAUCAUCGUCGACCCUUUUACUGUAGUACUAGUGGGUUAUCCAACUCAUUUCCAUCCCGUUGUCUCCUCCACUUGGGUGGAGUCAAUUUUCCAAGUCUAAUUGAUACAUCUAUGUACAUGGUAUGAAUGGGAGGGGUCGCCUUACGCCAGAGCCUAAUACGUGACCUGGAUUUUUGUAAUCUUCUUGGACUGCAUGUUGUGUCGUGAUGAACCAGGUACAAGUUAUUGUCUUAUGUUUGACCAGAAUGGAUCCCAAGUGGAAAUUCACGGGAGGCUGAAUGAGAAGCGAAUGUAGAAGACAAUGUAAACUUGAUAGGCAUGUUUCGGACAGCUGGAUCUUUGCCACUCAAUCACCAGGUUAUCCACUUGUACGAUGUGCGCAUGGUUGCGGCGAAGUUACGGAUGUUCCACCCACCAAUGUUUCAUGGCAAUAUUAACUGGGUUCCCUAGCAUUAGUUGUGGAUGUUUCUAUUUUAUGCUUGUAAGAGACAUUAGUUGCUCCGAUUUGUAGUAUUUAAUUGCCUUCCAUUAAUGCACCAUAUGCCAGUGUAUAGUAACCAUAAAAGAGCUGAUGUAUUGCUGUAUUAGAUGGAUGAUUGAAUUUAUAUAUAUAUAUGCUAUUAUGGUUACAAGUAUUGGAUUAAAA